GGUGUGGCAGCAGGUGGAGCAGACACUGCUUCAGCAGGAGCAGGAGCCACAGGGGGGAAGGGCAAGAAGAGGGGGAAGCGCUCCCGACAGGGCCACAAGGCUGAGAAGUCUGGAGAGGAGGCCCAGAAAGGGAAAACUCAGCCUGGAGACGGCGCCAACAAGAAACAAGGGAAGAAGAGUCAGUCGUAACAGUAGAGCUCUCAACUAAACCAGGUCCACUGACGUCCACCUGCGACACAUCACACCCUGGGAGGAAAAACGGACUGGAAGCCUCGUCAAUCGGCCAAAAACGUGUCUGAAGCUUUCACUUACAACGCAUGGUUUUUACAGCAAGACGACGCAAAACAAGUUACUUUUCUUUGAUUUCGCAUGAGCAUGUCACCAAAACACACUCACUGUUGGAAACGACACCGAAGGACACGCACGGACGUGAGUUGGAACUUUCUUAUCUUUGAUGAACGAAAGGCGUCCGUGACCAAAGACGGCACAAACGGGAAAAAAAAAAGCAAACUGACAGAUAAGGAAGACGUGUGAUUCACUCUGUCAGACACUCGCCUUAUUAUGGUUUAUUUUUUCCUCCUGGACCCACAGUAUUGGGGUGUACCAUGUGGUUCUGUUUUUUUAAAAAUGAAAUAUAAUAGUAAAUGGGUGAUUUUGUUGUAUAUAAAUGACACUGUAUAAAAUCUGAAAAAAAAAAAAGACAAAAUCAGUAGCUUCACAGAUUGUUUAUGCACUGAUUUGAGUUGAUGAAGCUUUGCAGAGUUGGUGCAUUUGUAUUGAGAGGUCGACACUGUUUGAGCAGCCUUGAGUGUGUGACCUGACAUGCUCUUCCAAAUGAAUAUAAAAAGGAACAAAAAAGCUGUAUGUAAACGAGAAACGAAUGGAGAUUUAAAAAGAAAACAACAAAAAAAACCUGCUUGAUUUUAAACAGGACGUUUCUUUAACAGCUUCUUCCACUCUCUGUCUGUGGGACAUUCUUCAGAGAAAUGAUAUUUUGCUGCAUGUGACGUCACUUUAUUUUUAACGCUUUCUGUUUUUUCUCCUAAUUCAAAAGCACUGUAAUACAAUUAGAGAGGGUUUGAUGGUACUUCUGUCUAUGUGAGCACUCAUAAUAACCCAAACCAUCUGUCAUCUAUAACUGUUUUUAUUUUAAUUUUUUACAAAAAUGGAAACACACACACACUCCACACUCGAGUGGCGGCAGAUUGCUUCAUUCUUACGCUUCAGGAAGGUCCCCGAAUGUAACCUGCAGACUGGUACGUUGUGUUAUCUCCAAACUGCUAGCAGCCCCCGUGUGUGUGCAACAUCAAAUAAAAAUGUCUAUCUGUAAGCCCAUCAUGCAAACUAGACGUGUACGUUUAAGCUUUUAAGUCUGCUGUGGUUUUAAAGAGGGGACUGUUUUCAUUUUGACGGUUUGAUGACUUUUAUCUUUAUUUAAUUGGUUGUAAUUACAUGAGAACAGAGAAUCUAUUUUUUAGCCCCAUCAUCCAAAUCUAAUCAUUUUUACUAAAUCACAUUACUGAUCACACAUUGGUAAAAAAUCUGAUUUUCUGUUCCUGUGUAAAACUGUUUGUCUUUUUUUCAUACAAACCACCCCAAGCAUCCACUGUUGAUGAUAAAUCUGGUACCAACAUGUAUGACGAACCAACAUAGCCUACACUGGAUGAUCCAAGUAAUUAUUUAAGCAGAAAAAUAAAUUGUGUUUAAACUGAA